AGCGCGGCUGGGAGGCGGGAGGGAGGAAGCGGAGGGAGGAAGAGGAGGGAAGGAGGGAGGAAGAGGAUGAGGGAGGGAGGCGGCGGGGCCGGGCCGCGGCUGGAGCCGGAUCCGGGGAAGAGCAGCGGGAGCAGAAAUCCCAGCGCCUUCACGGGCCCUGGGCUGUCCCUUAACAGCGCUUCACUCUUGGCUUGGGGUUUUUUGGAAGGGGGUAAACAAGGUGGGUAACACCAAGUGGCAAUGGCAAGAUUAAAAAUUAGAGGAGAUACUCUGAUUUAUGGAGAUACACAACAUUUAUCCUCCAAGCAGUGCAGAAGGUGUGAGAGUGGAAGAGAAAGUCCUGUGUCCAGGCCAUGGACUCCUUUUUGGAGGCAGUGAUGUUUCCCAAAUGCUGAUGUGUUCUUCUGCUGGAAUCCAGUGUGGAACAAGCCAGGCUCCUUCUUUGCUUCCUACAACAUGGUGAAGAAUUACAGUGUGUUAAAGAACAGUAACUGUUGAGUAUCCUCAUAAUGCUGGUAAAAUUCCAGGUUUUAAAUUAGUUACUAGGAAUAUGUAGCCUCUAUUCAAGUACUAAUUUAAAUUGACUUGGGCUGUCUGGAGGUGUUAAUUGCAUGUACACAUCCCCUCCACUCUUGAUUUGUCCUCACCCUCAAUCUGAGAUACCAGACACCCUUGAGGACAAUACAUGGGCACAAAAAACUGCAAAAUAAACAGUGUAACACUCCAA